rnacentral:rRNA from 1 species
UACGUAGGGUGCAAGCGUUGUUCGGAAUCACUGGGCGUAAAGGGCGUGUAGGCGGCCUGUUAAGUCUGAUGUGAAAUCCCCUCGCUCAACGAGGGAACUGCGUCGGAUACUGGCAGACUCGAGUACCGGAGAGGAAGGUGGAAUUCCCGGUGUAGCGGUGAAAUGCGUAGAUAUCGUUUGGAACGCCAAUGGUGAAAACAGGUUGCUGGGGGUGUGCUGACGCUGAGACACGAAAGCCAGGGGAGCAAACGGG